UCGUUCUCCCUGAAAUAGCUUUAGGGCUAGCGUCGCGCGUCACCGCCGGAGGUAGAGCACCGGAUGGACGAGGGGGCUUCGCCGCCUACCGAAUCCAACCGAACUCCGAAUGCCGGCGGCCCAGAGCGCGGCAGUCAGAGCAUGUGGGCUAAGCUGUGUGCUCGAGAGGGAAACAGCCCGGACCGCCCGCUAAGGUCCCCAAGUUCCAGCCGAGUGGCAAAGGAUGUGCGUCCGCCCAGACAACCAGGAUGUUGGCUUAGAAGCAGCCAUGCAUUCAAAGAGUGCGUAACAGCUCACUGGUCGAGUGGACAUGCGCCGACAAUACACGGGGCUAAGCUGGACACCGAAGCGGCGGGAUUUUACCUAAGUAGAAUCGGUAGGGGAGCUUCCCAUGGGCGGUGAAGCCGCCGGGCGACCGGCGGUGGAGCGCAUGGGAGUGAGAAUGCUGGCAUGAGUAGCGAGAGACGAGAGAGUAACUCGUCCGCCGUGAACCCGAGGUUUCCUGGGCAAGGCUAAUCCUCCCAGGGUCAGUCGGGGGCUAAGGCGAGGCCGGAAGGCGUAGCCGACGCGCAGCAGGCAGACAUUCCUGCACCGCGCACGCGGCGCUACGACCGACGGGGCGACGGAUGGGGGUGGCUCGGCGGGGUUCUGGACGUCCCCGUGAUGGAGCGCGGCCCGCGGACCAGGGAAAUCCGGUCCGCACGAGGGCGAGGCUCCGGACGAAGCGAUCAAGCGAAGCGAGUGAGCCCGAGGUCCCUAGAAAAACCCCUAGGCAGGCGCGUGCGCGCCCGUACCGCAAACCGACACAGGUGGGUGGGUAGAACAUACCGAGGCGAUCGGGUCAACCAUGGUCAAGGAACUCGGCACAAUGGCCCCGUAACUUCGGGAGAAGGGGUGCCCGCGCGUACGUGAACGGACUUGCUCCGGGAGCGGAGGCGGGCCGCAGUGGAGAGGCCCAAGCGACUGUUUACCAAAAACACAGGACUCUGCAGAAGCCGCAAGGCGACGUAUAGGGUCUGACGCCUGCCCGGUGCCGGAAGGUCACGCGGAGGAGUUAGCGCAUCGCGCGAAGCCCCGAAGCCAAGCCCCGGUAAACGGCGGCCGUAACUAUAACGGUCCUAAGGUAGCGAAAUUCCUUGUCGGGUAAGUUCCGACCUGCACGAAAGGCGCAACGACUUGGGCGCUGUCUCGACCAUGGACCCGGUGAAAUUGCACUGGUCGUGAAGAUGCGACUUACCCGCGGAAGGACGGAAAGACCCCGUGAACCUUCACUGCAGCUUGGCAUUGGCCGCUGGUCCCGCGUGUAGAGGAUAGGCAGGAGGCAUCGAUCCGGAGGCGCCAGCCCCCGGGGAGCCGCCCUUGGAAUACUGCCCUCGCGCGACCGGCGUCCUAACCCGAGGCCGUCGACCGGCUCGGGGACCGUGCCAGGCGGGCAGUUUGACUGGGGCGGUCGCCUCCUAAAGGGUAACGGAGGCGCGCGAAGGUCCGCUCGGGACGGUCGGCAACCGUCCUUUUGAAUGCAAGAGUACAAGCGGGCUUGACUGCGAGGCCCACAAGCCGAGCAGGUGCGAAAGCAGGCUCUAGUGAUCCGGCGGCCCCGAGUGGGUGGGCCGUCGCUCAACGGAUAAAAGGUACUCCGGGGAUAACAGGCUGAUCUUGCCCAAGAGUCCACAUCGACGGCAAGGUUUGGCACCUCGAUGUCGGCUCAUCGCAUCCUGGGGCUGGAGCAGGUCCCAAGGGUACGGCUGUUCGCCGUUUAAAGCGGUACGCGAGCUGGGUUCAGAACGUCGUGAGACAGUUCGGUCCCUAUCCUCCGUGGGCGCAGGAGAAUCGAUGGAGGCUGCCCCCAGUACGAGAGGACCGGGGUGGACGCACCUCCGGUGAACCGGUUGUCGACCAACGGCACGGCCGGGUAGCCGCGUGCGGCGCGGAUAACCGCUGAAGGCAUCUAAGCGGGAAGCCGUUCCAGGGAUUAGUUCU
rnacentral:rRNA from 1 species